CAGUAGCCACGGUAAUACGAAGGGUGCAAGCGUUAAUCGGAAUUACUGGGCGUAAAGCGCGCGUAGGUGGUUCAUUAAGUUGGAUGUGAAAUCCCCGGGCUCAACCUGGGAACUGCAUCCAAAACUGGCGAGCUAGAGUAUGGUAGAGGGUGGUGGAAUUUCCUGUGUAGCGGUGAAAUGCGUAGAUAUAGGAAGGAACAUCAGUGGCGAAGGCGACCACCUGGACUGAUACUGACACUGAGGUGCGAUAGCGUGGGGAGCAAACAGGAUUAGAUACCCCCGUAGUCCCUGUCUCUUAUAC
rnacentral:rRNA from 1 species